GCGACAUCUAUUGACAAUAGGGUGGUUCACGAAUGUAUGGAGAGAAAAAAAAGGUUUUUUAUUUUCGCUCCCCAGGUUUUUUCUUGUUUCAUUAUGAUCAAAAAUUGAUAUGUACCAAAAAUUAGCUUCUUAUUGGCUCAUUUAGAGGUUGCGAUGAUUUGCAAGUAGGAGCCCAUUAGUAUGGAAGUCGAAAAUUUUCAAAUUGUAAAAUCAGCAAAUAUGUCCGGCGCAAUGCAAGUAAGACUCAUUUUCGAAUUCGUAUUCCGGUGUCUGUUCGUACUAAGUCACAUUUGGUGUUUUUAGACAUCAAAAUGCUAAAAAAUGCACAAAAAUUGGCUAAAAAUUGUUUAUUGUUGACUUUUAAGGCUUCACACGUUCAACCUAGUCCAUCAACAUCGCACAAAAAAUAAAGUCCAAUAAUAUGUUAUCAUCGAAGAUAAAAUGCCUAUUUUCUAUAUGCUCUAGAUUUUUUACUAUUUUGUACCAAAAUGUUGAAAUUUUAUAUGAAAACUGAAAAAUCGUCAAAUCAUCGCGACCCCUAAACACUACUUGA